UGCGUAUUGUUUGAUUUGCACAACAAAAGCACUUUGUACGAUGAAAAUGAAUGGGUAAGAAUUGAUCGGCGACAGUUUGUAUGGUUUUUAAAAAGUUUAAAAUGUAUGUCCGCUACUGAGAGGUUUUGCCAUCACAUCGUGGUGAUCGGGUUCUCGGUUGAACAUUCAAAUAACGAAAACUUACGGCGAUUAUGACCUCAUCACAAUAUAAUCGUGGUAAAUCGUGUUUUUCUACACCUCCAACCAUCACUUUUUUGCCUCCACUCACGCACAACGACUGACGUCGCUGUAUACCGUU